rnacentral:rRNA from 1 species
AUUGAACGCUGGCGGAAUGCUUUACACAUGCAAGUCGAACGGCAGCACGGACUUCGGUCUGGUGGCGAGUGGCGAACGGGUGAGUAAUGUAUCGGAACGUGCCCAGUCGUGGGGGAUAACGUAGUGAAAAUUACGCUAAUACCGCAUACGAUCUAUGGAUGAAAGCGGGGGAUCGCAAGACCUCGCGCGAUUGGAGCGGCCGAUAUCAGAUUAGGUAGGUGGUGGGGUAAAGGCCCACCAAGCCAACGAGUGGUAGCUGGUCUGAGAGGACGACCAGCCACACGGGAACGGAGACACGGUCCAGACUCCUACGGGAGGCAGCAGUGGGGAAUUUUGGACAAUGGGCGAAAUCCUGAUCCAGCCAUUCCGCGUGCAGGGUGAAGGCCCUCGGGUUGUAAACUGCUUUUGUACAGAACGAAAAGGUUUCUACUAAUACUAGGAGCUCAUGACGGUACUGUAAGAAUAAGCACCGGCUAACUACGUGCCAGCAGCCGCCGUAA